CGGGGGUAGUCUCUGAAAGGAUCCCUGAUUGGAAGCCUUCGUAACAACCAUGGUAGUGGCAGAAACAUGCAAGGAAAGUAGAUAAGGCAGGCAAGUUGAAGGGGCGUAAAUGGGAAUGGAGCAUGCGAGCCGCAAAAGUCGUCCAGAUUCAUGAAAAAUAACGAAUUAGGACGGGAGGGCGUCGAGCGAGCGGCGUCGAUUUAUUAAUCUCUCCUUCGCCGGCGUCGCGCGAGUCAUAAGCUCGCGUUGAUUACGUCCCUGCCCUUUGUACACACCGCCCGUCGCUACGCGCGAGUCAUAAGCUCGCGUUGAUUACGUCCCUGCCCUUUGUACACACCGCCCGUCGCUACCCAUCCGCGCGGAGUCGGGAGGCCGGGAGGGUCGCGGAGCCCCUUCCCGCCGAAGCAACAGUUAUAGGUAUGUUCACAAAGGGUUAUAGAGCGUAAACUCAGUAAUGUCCCUACCGCAGUCUCCAUAAAGG
rnacentral:rRNA from 1 species